UACGAAGGGGGCUAGCGUUGUUCGGAAUUACUGGGCGUAAAGCGCACGUAGGCGGAUAUUUAAGUCAGGGGUGAAAUCCCAGAGCUCAACUCUGGAACUGCCUUUGAUACUGGGUAUCUCGAGUAUGGAAGAGGUGAGUGGAAUUCCGAGUGUAGAGGUGAAAUGCGCAGAUAUCAGGAGGAACACCAAUAGCGAAGGCAGCUCGCUGGGACGGUACUGACGCUAAGGUGCGAAAGCGUGGGGAGCGAACAGG
rnacentral:rRNA from 1 species